CUCUCCUUUCUCAUUUCCGGCCACUUCCUUUAAGGUGCUGAUGCUUAAGCCACAUGGACAAUUCAUGAAUUGUUUGGUUGAAGUUUACAGAGCUUGUGAACAGCAGAGCCAGGCCGGAUGGAGCCUGCAUGAUCCUUGUGCUGAUGCUCUAGGUUCUCACCGCCACACUCACCAAAGCAUCAAGAGGAAAUGAAUGAAGAUGGUGUAGCAGAAAGGUGUCUUCAUCUAUGAAAUGUUUUGAGAUGACCCCUUCAUUCUAACAGACUUUCUGACACAACAACUGGCACUGAGCUGAGCACACAGUUGGAGCUUUGAGAAGGCACAAGGUCAGAUGCUGGGCUCAAAGGUGUGCUUCCCAGAUGGAUAAAGGCUCUGCGGGGAUAAAGUAGUUGUCAUCUGAUGGCAAUACUAAAUGUGCUUCCCCUCUCCCAUGGCUCCCUUUUCUUUGACCACAGACACACCCUCAGAGUUUCCUUCCUCUGACAUUCCUGGCUCUGGCAUUUUCUGGGGUUGCCAUGUCUGACAGUUAUCACAGCCCUAACUACAACUCUACUGCAUCCUCCCUACAACGAACCAACUCUUACCUUGUAUCCCUUUUAGCCUCUGGAGUUGGCUAGAUAUUUGCAUCUCUGGGUUGAGAGCUGAUCUGGUCUUCCCUGGCUACAGGGUUAAAACAGGACACUUAUGACUAGCUGGUAUGGGGGUGCUCUCUUUCCUUGAGACCAAGGAUGGUGUAUUAUAGUUUGCUACAGCUGCCACAACCUGGGUGGCUUAAACAGCAGAAAUUUACCAUCUUGAAGUUCUGGAGACCAGAAGUCUAGAAUCGAGG
rnacentral:lncRNA from 1 species